CCAGCACCUGCGGUAAUCCCUGCUCCAAUAGCGUAUAUUAAAGUUGUUGCGGUUAAAAAGCUCGUAGUUGGAUUUCUGCUGAGAACGACCGGUCCGCCCUCUGGGUGUGUAUCUGGCUCUUUCUUGGCAUCUUCUUGGUGAACGUUACUGCACUUGACUGUGUGGAGCGCUACCCAGGACUUUUACUUUGAGGAAAUUAGAGUGUUUCAAGCAGGCAUACGCCUUGAAUACAUUAGCAUGGAAUAAUAAGAUAGGACCUCGGUUCUAUUUUGUUGGUUUCUAGAGCUGAGGUAAUGAUUAAUAGGGACAGUUGGGGGCAUUAGUAUUUCGUUGUCAGAGGUGAAAUUCUUGGAUUUACGAAAGACUAACUUAUGCGAAAGCAUUUGCCAAGGAUGUUUUCAUUGAUCAAGAACGAAAGU
rnacentral:rRNA from 1 species